rnacentral:rRNA from 1 species
UACGUAGGGGGCAAGCGUUGUCCGGAAUUACUGGGCGUAAAGCGCGUGUAGGCGGGACGGCAAGUCGGACGUGAAAGGCUGGGGCUCAACCCCAGAUCGCCGUUCGAAACUGCCGUUCUUGAGGGUCGAAGAGGAGAGUGGAAUUCCCGGUGUAGCAGUGAAAUGCGUAGAGAUCGGGAGGAACAUCAGUUGCGAAGGCGGCUCUCUGGACCAGCACUGACACUGAGGCACGAAAGCGUGGGGAGCAAACGGG